AGCCCGUUAAUGGGUGAUGGCGUGCCUUUUGUAGAAUGAACCGGCGAGUUACGAUAACGCGCGAGGUUAAGCCGAUGAGGCGGAGCCGUAGCGAAAGCGAGUCUGAACAGGGCGUUCAGUGCGUUGUCGUAGACCCGAAACCAGGUGAUCUACCCAUGUCCAGGAUGAAGGUCAGGUAACACUGACUGGAGGUCCGAACCCACGCACGUUGAAAAGUGCGGGGAUGAGGUGUGGGUAGCGGUGAAAUGCCAAUCGAACCUGGAGAUAGCUGGUUCUCCCCGAAAUAGCUUUAGGGCUAGCCUCGAGGUUGAGAGUUCUGGAGGUAGAGCACUGAUUGGACUAGGGGCCCCCACAGGGUUACCGAAUUCAGUUAAACUCCGAAUGCCAGCAACUUAUACUCGGGAGUCAGACUGCGAGUGAUAAGAUCCGUAGUCAAGAGGGAAACAGCCCAGACCGCCAGCUAAGGUCCCAAAGUGUAUGUUAAGUGGAAAAGGAUGUGGCGCUGCCUAGACAGCUAGGAUGUUGGCUUAGAAGCAGCCACCAUUCAAAGAGUGCGUAAUAGCUCACUAGUCGAGUGGCGCCGCGCCGAAAAUGUAACGGGGCUAAACAUACCACCGAAGCUGCGGAUUCCGUAAGGAAUGGUAGGGGAGCGUUCCAAACCGCUGUGAAGCUGUACCGGAAGGAGCAGUGGAGCGUUUGGAAGUGAGAAUGCCGGUGUGAGUAGCGAAAAGAGGGGUGAGAAUCCCCUCCGUCGAAAGCCCAAGGUUUCCUGAGGAAGGCUCGUCCGCUCAGGGUUAGUCUGGACCUAAGCCGAGGCCGAAAGGCGUAGGCGAUGGAUAACAGGUUGAUAUUCCUGUACCGCCGAUCCACCGUUUGAACAAUGGGGGGACGCAGGAGGAUAGUGACGCAUGCGGAUGGAAGUGCAUGUGCAAGUUUCAAGACCGUCUGAUUGGCAAAUCCGUCAGGCAUCAAAGUCAAGGAACGAUGCGGAGUCCCGUAGGGACGUAGGUCACGAUUUCACACUGCCAAGAAAAGCCUCUAGUGAGGGGGAAGGCGCCAGUACCGUAAACCGACACAGGUAGGCGAGAUGAGAAUUCUAAGACGCGCGGGAUAACUCUCGUUAAGGAACUCGGCAAAAUGGUCCCGUAACUUCGGGAGAAGGGACGCUCUACACAUGUAGAGCCGCAGUGAAUAGGCCCAAACGACUGUUUAGCAAAAACACAGGUCUCUGCUAAAUCGCAAGAUGACGUAUAGGGGCUGACGCCUGCCCGGUGCUGGAAGGUUAAGGGGAUGGGUUAGCGCAAGCGAAGCUUUGAACCGAAGCCCCAGUAAACGGCGGCCGUAACUAUAACGGUCCUAAGGUAGCGAAAUUCCUUGUCGGGUAAGUUCCGACCCGCACGAAAGGCGUAACGAUUUGGGCACUGUCUCAACGAGAGACUCGGUGAAAUCAUAGUACCUGUGAAGAUGCAGGUUACCCGCGACAGGACGGAAAGACCCCGUGGAGCUUUACUGUAGCCUGAUAUUGAAAUUUGGCACAGCUUGUACAGGAUAGGUAGGAGCCUUUGAAACGUGAGCGCUAGCUUACGUGGAGGCGCUGGUGGGAUACUACCCUGGCUGUGUUGACUUUCUAACCCGCACCAUUUGAUCAUGGUGGGAGACAGUGUCAGGCGGGCAGUUUGACUGGGGCGGUCGCCUCCUAAAGAGUAACGGAGGCGCUCAAAGGUUCCCUCAGAAUGGUUGGAAAUCAUUCGCAGAGUGUAAAGGCACAAGGGAGCUUGACUGCGAGACCUACAAGUCGAGCAGGGUCGAAAGACGGGCUUAGUGAUCCGGUGGUUCCGCAUGGAAGGGCCAUCGCUCAACGGAUAAA
rnacentral:rRNA from 1 species